GAAGGGGGCUAGCGUUGCUCGGAAUCACUGGGCGUAAAGCGCACGUAGGCGGACUCUUAAGUCAGGGGUGAAAUCCUGGAGCUCAACUCCAGAACUGCCUUUGAUACUGGGAGUCUUGAGUCCGGAAGAGGUAAGUGGAACUGCGAGUGUAGAGGUGAAAUUCGUAGAUAUUCGCAAGAACACCAGUGGCGAAGGCGGCUUACUGGUCCGGUACUGACGCUGAGGUGCGAAAGCGUGGGGAGCAAACAGG
rnacentral:rRNA from 1 species